rnacentral:rRNA from 1 species
UACGUAGGGGGCAAGCGUUGUCCGGAAUCAUUGGGCGUAAAGAGCUCGUCGGCGGUUUGUCGCGUCGAAUGUGAAAACCCGGGGCUCAACCCCGGGCCUGCAUUCGAUACGGGCAGACUAGAGUUCGGUAGGGGAGUCUGGAAUUCCUGGUGUAGCGGUGAAAUGCGCAGAUAUCAGGAGGAACACCGGUGGCGAAGGCGGGACUCUGGGCCGAUACUGACGCUGAGGAGCGAAAGCGUGGGGAGCAAACAGG